rnacentral:rRNA from 1 species
AUUGAACGCUGGCGGCAGGCCUAACACAUGCAAGUCGAGCUAGCGGCGGACGGGUGAGUAAUGUAUGGGGACUGCCCGAUAGAGUGGGAUAACUACUGGACACGGUGGCUAAUACCGCAUACUAUCGGAUAACCCAUAUGAGAUUAGCUAGUAGGUGGGGUAAAGGCUCACCUAGGCGACGAUCUCUAGCUGGGCUGCGAGGAUGAUCAUGCACACGGGGAGUGAGACACGGCCCAGACUCCUACGGAGGCAGCAGUGGGGAAUAUUGCACAAUGGGCGAAAGCCUGAUGCAGCCAUGCCGCGUGGAUGAAGAAGGCCUUAGGGUUGUAAAGUACUUUCAGCGGGGAGGCGUUAACCGCAGAAGAAGCACCGGCUAACUCCGUGCCAGCAGCCGCGGUAAUUC